ensembl:lncRNA
UGUAGGACUACAGUAAUGGAGGGAUUUGGAGGCUGAAUUCGCCCCUGUGACACUUUUUGUAGUGAACUGCUGAAAGCUGUCUCUCAGAUGGAGUGGAUGUGAAGGUAGAAAGUAUGUGUGAGCUGAUGUGGAUGUGAAUUCAGCAGCAUGGAUCAUUGUGAGGAUAGAGAGGAGGGAGUCCCUCCCUCUAAAACCACUCUGUGUAGGGAACAUGAGAGCCAGACCAAAGCUCAGAGGAACCAACCUGGACCUCCACCCAGCUCUGUGUCCUUAAUGAGUGAUGAGUUAAAGGGCGAUGGUCCUCCUGCAGAGAG